CUACGGGGUGCUGCAGUGGGGAAUAUUGGACAAUGGGGGAAACCCUGAUCCAGCAAUGCCGCGUGUGUGAAGAAGGCCUGCGGGUUGUAAAGCACUUUCGGUUGGGAGGACUGCUUCUAGCACUAAUAUUGUUGGAAGUUGACGUUACCUUCAGAAGAAGCACCGGCUAACUCCGUGCCAGCAGCCGCGGUGAAUACGGAGGGUGCAAGCGUUAAUCGGAAUUACUGGGCGUAAAGCGCGCGUAGGCGGCUAGAUCAGUCGGGUGUGAAAGCCCCGGGCUUAACCUGGGAACUGCAUCCGAUACUGUCUAGCUUGAGUACAGGAGAGGAGAGUGGAAUUCCACAUGUAGCGGUGAAAUGCGUAGAUAUGUGGAGGAACACCAAUGGCGAAGGCAGCUCUCUGGCCUGAUACUGACGCUGAGGUGCGAAAGCGUGGGGAGCAAACAGGAUUAGAUACCCGAGUAGUC
rnacentral:rRNA from 1 species